rnacentral:lncRNA from 1 species
UUUAACCUUCUCAGCUUUGUUGCUUUUCUUGUCUCGCUGACUGACGUUGCCGACUGUGUUUUGUGCAGGAGUGGACAAACUGGCAUUCCGCAGUCUCGAACGAGAAUCCAGUCGAGGAAGAGGAGGGCAGCAUGGAGGGCAGCGUGGAUAGCGCCGAGUACGUCUCUGACAGUGGGGAGACGGAGGAGGAUACGGAAGAGGAGGAGGAGGAGAGUGGAGAGCAGAGCUCGUCACCCUCACCACCAGAGCACCGAACCAAGCGCCGUCAUGACCCCGCUUCUCCGCCGGCUCCUUCCGCAGCCCCGAAUGCUCCGCCAGCUCCUCCCGUGGCUCCGAGUGCUCGGAGUGUGAAGAGAACCAGGGGUGCUUCUGCCGAGCCCGUGAACCAGCCGUCCAAGGUGGCUAAACCUAGUGGGCCUAAACCUCGGAAAGCCUUGCCCCGGAUGAGGAUCGUUGUUCCGGUCGCCUCAGCGUAAGUAUCUUUACUCUUUCAUCUUCCUUCAGUAUCCGAUUGAAUUCCUCUUUUUGGGAACUCAUGUUUAUCCGUCGAGUGGAUUUCACUCAACAGAGUUGCUACCUUCGCCACCUCUCUGCCGCGCCAGGAUGAUGAUCCCAUGGACACGGAUAAUGCUGCCACGUCCCGGCAAGGUACGUUGUCACAACUCUGAGAGCUGUAUUACUGUUUCGCGAGUGCUGUCUUUCAUCUUGACCUUUUUCUGUAAUUUUAUUUUGUUCAGUCGGGCUUCCUUCGAAGGGGAUCCAUCUAGACGACGACGACUAAAGGAGGUCGGAGCCAGCUUUGGCGCCUGUCCCUAGGGUUAUCUAACCUGCUGCCAAUCCCACCAUGAACGUGCCGCCGACUGAGACGGUGGCCCUCACGGCGGAACCGACUGGACCAGAGCUCGGGAUGCCCAGGGAGCCUUCUGCCACGUCGGGUCCGUCGGUUGUUCAAUAUGAUGCCUGACGCCUCCCGGAAGAUCAAGUAGGAGCUGCCAAGGACGCCAUGGUACAAGUAGAGCAGAUGGUGGGUGAUGCCAAGGGAGCGUAUGACUCCAUCGUAUCCCUGUACAAGAAGAGCUUGGAGCUUCGGGAUGAUAUCCGAGUAAGUGCGCUAGUAAGUGUUUACAUUCCUCUUGGUACCACUGGGGGUUUCAGCAAUAUACUUGGAUACAGUAGGAUGAUUUUGCAGUGGGUUCACUCCGAGUGAACCCAGUGGGUGUAGUCCCCGAGACUUCUGCCGAGUGCUUGCGCCGGCAGUUGUCUUUAUAUGUAUUUUUCCAUAAUCUGUACAGAUCAGAGCUGAUCUGCCCGAAUGGUACCAGUGGGGGCACGCCGAGUGCACCCACUGGGUGUAGUCCCCGAGAGUAGUGUUACUCGGGUUGAGUAAUAGUAAUUUCAUACUGUUGUUGGCUUGUUAUGGAGCUCAAUAGGGCCGACCUGUUCGAGCUUCAUGCCAGUGGGGUCACUCUCAGUGAACCCACUGGGUGUAGUCCCCGAGACCGCUGUCCAUUUCUUGCAUCGGCACGGGUCUGAAGAAUUUUGAGCUUUGAUUGUUUUGUCAUAUCUGUCGAGACUUUUUCCUUGUUGAAUGUGGCUGAUCCUCCCUUUGUGUCUCUUUGACAGAAGACUUGUGAAAUGGGAUCGGCGUACAAUGCUCUGAAGGCUGAGAAGACUCAACUUGUUGCGGACUUGGAGGUGGCUGUGAAUGAACUGGCUCGCGUGAAGAAGGCUCUUACUGACCGAGGGAAAUCUUUGGAGGAAUCUCGGGAGGCUAACAAGGCACUGCUAGCCGAGGUAGAAAAAAUGAAGAGGGAGAGAUCCGAAUGGAUGGGCUAGCUGAAGGUGGUGAACACUCGGUGCAGAGCGCAGGAGAACUACGUCGGCGACUGGGCAAAGAAGAUGGUCGCACUGCUUGGUGGUAAGUUCUUGCCGAGUGCUUUUUGACUUCGGAGUUCACUCCGCGCUUAUUUUCUGUUUGUCUUUUCUUUGCAGAUUUCUGUCGGGACGUUGAGGCCAAAACAGCCGAAAUUGAGCGGUCGCUUGUUCCGAAUGUCCCACUCGGCGAUGAAGCUAACCGGGACAUGUUCCGAGUGCAUUCUCACCUUAACAGGGUGGGCCCUUUCAUUGGUCGCCUGAGAAGAGUUGUUGGCCGAAUCGACAAGGAGUUGUGGCCUGAAGACGACUCCCAGAACGAUAUAGAGGGGUUGAUGACUCGACUGGAGGGCGUUCCAAGCAGAGUGCAGGCAUGGAAGAAGUCUGCCGCUCGGUGUGGUGCGGACGUGGCGCUGUCUCUGGUCCGAGUGCACUGCAAGGAAGCCCGUGAAGACAAGUUGAAGACGUUGCAGGUCGCCAACACCAAGAAGCUUCGAUUUGAAGAUUUCAUGGAGACCUUCCUCGACACAGCUACUCGGAUUACAGAUGGAAUCAACCUCGACACCUUUGUGGAGCCUGCCAGUCACGGCGACGCUUGAUAAACUUUAUGCUGAACGCACAUUUACAUCGGUAUGCCGAGUGGAGUCUGUAUUAAACUUUGGCCACUGCCGUUGGCUGGUACAUUCAUGGUUCGGUGUGGAUAAACUUGAUUCACACCGAGCCGAUUGAUCGCAGAUCCAGCUUGAAUUCGAAUCGGAUCUUUUGCUCUUCUUUCGCUGAGUUUUUUUGACACGAUUUUGGCUCGUGGUUUUUGUUUGGGCAUCUCUUGGUGAAGCCAAUGGCAACCAUGCGGAGCAUGUAUUUGUCAGUUGUCUUCACAUCCACAUGAGCCUCAAUGAGGGUCUGAUAAGCCUCCGAGUGUAUCUCGAGUGCCCACUCGGAGGAAGCUUUUUACUUAGGCGACUCCGGUUCGCAUCUAAGUCUCCGACUGUUACUUGAAAUGCACACCCGGAGCAAGUUUGUUUACUUCGGCGACUCUGAGUCGCGGCUAAGUCCCCGAGUGUGACUUUUGGUCCACACUCAAAACGAGUUUUUACUUAGGCGACUCUGGGUCGCAGCUAAGUCCCCGAGUGUGACUUUUAGUGCACACUCGGAGCAAUUUUUUACUUAGGCAACUCUGGGUCACAGCUAAGUCCCCGAGUGUGACUUUUAGUGCACACUCGGAGCGAGUUUUUUACUUAGGCGACUCUGAGUCGUAGCUAAGUCCCCGAGUGUGACUUUUGGUGCACACUCGGAGCAAGUUGUUUACUUAGGCGACUCUGGGUCGCAGCUAAGUCUCCGAGUGUGACUUUURGUGCACACUCGGAGCGAGUUGUUUACUUAGGCGACUCUGGGUCGCAGCUAAGUCCCCGAGUGUGACUUUURGUGCACACUCGGAGCGAGUUUGUUAGUUAGGCGACUCUGGGUCGCAGCUAAGUCUCUGAGUGUUACUUUUGGCGCACACUNNNNNNNNNNNNNNNNNNNNNNNNNNNNNNNNNNNNNNNNNNNNNNNNNNNNNNNNNNNNNNNNNNNNNNNNNNNNNNNNNNNNNNNNNNNNNNNNNNNNUAUAUAUAUAUAUAUAUAUAUAUAUAUAUAUAUAUAGACACACACACGUUGCGAGAGAAAAAGAAAAUCAUGGAUGGACGGCACCACAACGAAACCACACCCAUCUCCUUCUCCCUCCUCUCGUCUCACAUCUUCUUGCGUUCUCCUCUUUCCUACUCCCUCCCUCAAAAUAUAUUGGUCAUAGAAAUAAGUGUAUCUAGAUGUAUUUAGUUUUAGACACAUCCAAUUUUAUUUAUUUAUGCGUCAAGUAAUUCUGAACGAAGGGGGUAUGUUUGUGGUCGAGCACUUGAGAAAGAUGAAGCGGCAGAGCGAGAGGUUGAGACGAUAAUGGGCACCCAUGACCUUUGACCUAUGUGUCGGAGCCAAAGUCGACGACUAUAUGGCUAGUCAUGGCGAAGACGAAGACUGGGACUGAGCUGAAGGUGGUGGCAUCGACAAAAGCAAGGAAGAAACCUAGCGGUAAGACAAGGAGCAUGCGGAUGCCGAAGUUGAUCCACUGCCCUCCAUACCUAGAAGGGAUAGGCGAGGCAACGACAAAAGGCGAGGGUGAAGGAAAGAUGAAUAAAUGGACAUGGUUAGACGGUGAAGCGGGCGGUGCCAAGGACUCUAGGAUGAGUGGCGAUAUGGAGAGCACUGAUAACUUAGCCAUUGACAUAGCUUGUACAACCGUCGACAUUGACGCGCGAGAGUUCCUUCAUGGUCGAUCACCAACUAGCUAUUCCGAGUACAUUGUUUAAAAUACCAUUAGAGGGGAGAGAGAGGGAUAGCCGGAAUAGUUGUUGUAUUGCUUGAGCCUCAUGAGCACAUAUAUAUAGGAGUACAACGACCAACUUGAAGUACAAGACAAGGUAGGAUAAAUCCUAGUCUAUCUCAUAUUUCCUAAUAAUCAAUAUACUCAACAUCCCCCGCAGUCACAACGGUAGCGACACAUACAAUGAGAUUGGAGAAGAAUUCAAAGGUAAGCCAACGGUCACCCCCCCACACACACAGUCGUAACGGUCGAUGCACCGCGGAAGUUGUGGCUAGAGUGGAAACCGACGAGGUUGCGCAAGCAAGGCGGUAGCCCUUUGGGCCGAUGUUGAGGUAGCCGUGUGAAGAACACCGUGGUCGAUGCAGAGUCGGAGUAGCUGGUGUCGAGGAAGUCGUUGUGAAGCCACGGGCGCAAGGAGGCGCCGAUUGGUGGUGUGGAAGUAGUGGUGCGCUGGGAACAAGACGUAGUUGAGACACGUCGUGUCGGGUUUGCCAAGCCCGGGGACGCAUCAUGGAUGAAAGCACACAUCGGUGUUGCUAGCACCGGGCAUGCAUAAACGGACGAAGUCGAUGUUGGCAAUGCGCCGCUCCAGUCUUUCCAGGCCUGGGAGCACAUCGGGGACGAAAGCACGCGACGGUGCUGCCAUCAUCGGGCAUGCGUAGACGGGGACCUGCACAAAACUUGUAUGCCAUGUCGAGGAGGCUAGCAGAGAAGGACUCGAUGAUGGUUGCGACACAAAUAGGUGGGGGGCAUGUUUCUCGCGGUGGUCGGAGUAGACGAAGUGGUCGGGGUAGACGAUGACAACACCGAUGAUGAGCUGGUGCUGGACGGAGAUGAAGGGGGUGGACAUGCAGCGCGGCUCGGGUGAGCGAGCUACAACGGCGCCGAAGGAGAGUGGCGGCGGCGGCCUGACGGCGGCGACAAUGGCUAGUUAGGAGCGCGACGGUGAUGCUCGAAAGGCGAGGAAGAACCCGACAGUGUGACGAAGACCGGCGCGGACGAUGGCGUUCCCACGCCGACGGAGAUGGAGCGACACAUACCACAAGAAGUCGACGCGCGGGGAUGGCGGAGUGGACCGCGCACCGCGGCGCUACGACCCGAUGGGCGAUGAAGCGACAAUGCGUGGGUCGGGGCGAUGACGGGAAGACCUCGGGGCGGCGGCGUGGACCGCGACGGGACGGCCCAAGGGGCGGCGUAGCGGCGGUGCGUGGGACGGUGCAGCCAUGGGGAUGGUCUCGGGCGGCGGCGGCGACCGCGUGUCAUGGCGCUACAAUCCGAAGAGGCGAUGUAGCGGUGACUCAGGGGCCGCGAGGACUGCGUGUUGCGACAGUACAACCCAAAGGGGCGAUGUAGCGGCAAUGCCGAGUCGGUGCAGCCGCGGGAGAACCAAGGGGCAACGACGCUGCGACUCAACAGGGCGACACGGCGGCAACUUGAUGCUCGAUCGGUGAAGGGCACGUUGUACUCGAGACAAUCUUCAUGGGACUUGUGGAGGCGCCCGUGACCGACGAGACAGAUCGGUCGCACACCAUGUUAAAAGGGAGGAGAGGGAUAUGUGAAAUGAUUGUUGUAUUGCUUGAGCUUAGGAGUAUAAUGAUCAACUUAAAGUACAAAAUAAGAUAGAAUAAGUCCUAACUUAUCUUAUGCUUUUUCUAAUAAUCAAUAUACUCGAACCAUACUAUCUCUAACUAAAACACGGUAUAGUGGAUAGUUUUAUCCAGGGAACAUCAUCGAACAUCUCCAAAUGAUAGACAAGAACACAUUGCCAGAAGUAUCAUAGACACGAGUGGGCCACCACCCCCGUCGCCCACUUGUGCUGGGUAGAUUCCGGGAGCCCCCUAGCAAAAAGAAAAAAAGAAGAAGAGGAAAGGAAUAGCAUCGCCACCUCCGGACAUGCGUGUGCGAUUCCACCCAGUAGCAAGCGAGCCCGCAGCAGAUCCCCGUCCCACUUGUCCGCCCCCGCAUUAUCUUAAUAUUAUUCUGGUCCACUACCCGCCACAUCUCCCACCAGCCACAUUUGAUCCCCCCCUCCCCCUCCCCUCCCCCACCAUAUGGCACCCCAGCUCCCGCUGCCUCCCCUCCUCCUCUCCCCGUCCCGUCGCCGCCUCCUCACCCGCCGCCGCCGCCGACGCACCGCACCUCAACCAGCAGCGGCCUGAAGGGAGGGAGCGCGCGAGCGGUGCGGCAUGGACAUCGACCCUUCCUCCGUCUCCCACGCGGACGGCGGGGGCGACCUGUGGCCCUUCGACUCGCUCACCACGUCCCUCUUCUUCUCCUCCGUCUCCUCCUCCCCGCCGCUCCACCCGCUGCCCGUCGCCUCCUCCUCGUGGCUUACCCCGCCCUCGCCGCUCUGGCUCUUCGACGACCGCCAGAUGAUGCCCAUCGAGGUGGGCCCUGCGCCCGCCGCGGCGCCGGACAACACUGCCGCCGUCGCCGCCGCCGUCGCGGAGGAGGUCUGCCACCGAGCCCGCUCCGGUAAGCCUCAUCAUACCUCGCUUCAUCGCUUGGUAUCGAUCCUUGCUUCGUCUGCUGCUUCCUGGAUCGUACGGGACGUUCAUUAGAGGGGUUCGUGAUUUUGUUCUCCUAUUUCUGGCUUGGCCUGCCGACGGAAUCUUUCUGCUCCAGAGCUGGAACAGAGGGGCAGCUGGAAUCUUGCUGUUAUCCUAGUCCUUAUCUUCUCUGUACGAUCCGCGAAGUUUCCCAGCUUUGCGUUUGACUUUUUUGGGGGGCUCCUUUUGGCACGUUUCUCGGCUGCAUAUGAUUCGGCUCAUAAAUCUCUCGGGGAAAUAGUAGAAUAUUUCUGCUUGCUAAUCCAAACAAGGCGGAUAAAAUGUUGUAAAGCUUCAUCAGCUUUGUUGCAGUGAUAGGCUUGCCGUGUUUAAUUAGUGUGAACAAGCCCGGCUUUCCGUCUGGGUCUGACUACGUGGGGGUAAUGCGUGCUUUCUUAUGCAAAUGAUUGGAAAAAUAUUGGUUGAUAGCUUAUUGGAUUCCACUAGGCGUAUGGAGGUACUUUCCAAUUACUGUAUUAUUACUAUAUAUAUGCAUACAGAAAGGGUGUCAUUUUCUUGUGCUAUUGUUGCAUGAGUCAUUUACUUUACCCAGUGCCGUAUACUGCUUUUUUGCGGUGCCCCUUAUUAGUGGUGGUAUGAUGCCUCUAAAGCGGUAUUUAGUACUAGAUAUACAUUAGUGGUGGGGUAUGACGCACAUACUAGAUUGUAUUCAAAGUUGAAGCUGUUGGAUAAGGCCUUACUUUGUCUCAUUACAUUAUUGUUAGUAUUUUUACAAGGGAGACAAUGAGAUGUACUUUGCCGUGCUAAAUAAACUAGGACCUCUCCAUUUCGUUGGUUGGUGUUUCAAGAAAUGCGCUUGGCUUGAUGAUUGUGUGUGUGCUACUGUUGAUUUGUUUCACUUUACUGUAAGCAUCCAUGCGUUGCAGUUAACAAACUUUAUGGCUUUUCGGCAACAUAUUUUCCGUUCAUGAAAUAGGUAUCGCUUGUCACAUAUUUACAUGAGCGUAAUGUGUUAGACUGGAUGGAUGAUUCAUAGAUAAUUGUAUUGCUAAUUUAAUGGCAUUCCUUUCUUAUUUAUUAUGUUCCUAGCCACAUUUCCCUUACAAUACUGCAUUCCAUUCUGCUAACUAGGGAAUUCGGACACGCCAAUUAAGAAGACCGAACGUCUUAACAACAAAUGGCAAUUUAACCUAGCUCUGCAUGACGAUAGCACGAACAGCUCAUGCUUGUUCAAGGAGAAGCUGACUCAUGCUCUCAGGUACUUCAAGGAGUCAACAGAUCAACACUUGUUGGUCCAGGUUUGGGCGCCGGUUAAGAGUGGAGAUCGCUAUGUGCUUACUACAUCAGGACAACCCUUUGUACUUGACCACCAGAGCAUUGGGCUGCUUCAGUACAGGGCUGUAUCCAUGAUGUACAUGUUUUCAGUAGACGGAGAUAAUGCUGGAGAGCUUGGAUUACCUGGGCGUGUCUACAAGCAAAAGGUGCCUGAGUGGACACCAAAUGUGCAGUAUUAUAGCAGCACCGAGUACCCACGCCUUAACCAUGCCAUCAGUUACAACGUUCAUGGUACUGUUGCCUUGCCUGUUUUUGAUCCUUCUGUUCAAUCAUGUAUUGCUGUCGUUGAACUUAUAAUGACAUCGAAGAAGAUAAACUAUGCUGAUGAGGUCGAUAAAGUCUGCAAAGCUCUUGAGGUUAGUGUUUUCUUUGUCCCAUCACGUUUCUUUUAUGUCACAUGAGGCAUUGCUUGGAUAUGUAGAUUGUGGACAUUAUAUUCUUAGCAAUAAUAUUUGUGCUAUAUGCAGGCAGUAAAUCUUAAAAGCACCGAGAUAUUGGAGCAUCCAAAUGUUCAGGUUAGCAUCCAACCAAUAGGAACAGUAACAGUUGCUGUUUUUACUAUGGGGGGUUGAUUUAUGUGUUUCUUUGUUGUGUACUCAGAUUUGCAAUGAAGGCCGUCAAUCUGCCCUGGUGGAGAUACUGGAGAUCCUGACAGUUGUAUGUGAAGAGCACAAGCUUCCUUUAGCACAAACGUGGGUUCCUUGCAAGUAUCGAAGUGUGUUGGCGCAUGGUGGUGGUGUUAAGAAAAGUUGCUUGAGCUUUGAUGGAAGUUGCAUGGGGGAAGUCUGCAUGUCAACCAGUGAUGUGGCAUUUCAUGUGAUUGAUGCUCAUAUGUGGGGAUUCCGAGAUGCCUGUGUAGAACAUCACCUACAAAAGGGACAGGGAGUUUCUGGCAAGGCGUUUAUCUAUCACAGACCUUGCUUUUCGAAAGAUAUCAGUCAGUUUUGUAAGCUGGAAUACCCCCUAGUGCACUAUGCUCGUAUGUUUGGAUUGGCUGGCUGCUUUGCUAUAUGUUUACAAAGUCCUUAUACUGGUGAUGAUUAUUAUAUGCUGGAGUUUUUCCUGCCACCCAGUUGUAAAGAUGAAGAUGAUCAGAAUGCCUUGUUGGAGUCUAUAUUAGGCCUGAUCAAUCAGUGUCUCCGUAAUCUAAAGGUAGCUGGUAACGGAGAAUCCAACGAAGCUUCUCUUCAACUUAGCAAUGUCAUAAGGAUUGAAAAUGAAGAUUUCAAGACAGUGCAUUUUGAGAACUCUGAAGGUUUUCAUGAGUCACCUGAAGGUGAUACACAUGGAGGAGCCCACGAGUUCGAUAAAGGGAAUAGUAAAGUAUCAGAGGGACAUUUGUUGGCUGAUGAUAACUCUCAGAACAAUGGCACAUCUGUCUCCAGGCCAAAUGGUAGCGCUGCUUCUGAUUCUUCAUUGCUUCACAAAAACAGCAAACCCCCUGAAAGGAGACGGGGAAAAGCUGAAAAAACAAUCAGCCUAGAAGUUCUUCAGCAAUAUUUUUCUGGAAGCCUGAAAAAUGCAGCAAAAAGCCUCGGUGGUACGCUUCUAAUAUUUACCCUUUUAAGUUGACAGUUCCUCAGUUUUUUUAGUCUUGCUCUUUCUGAUUGCUAGCUUCCUUUAUUUAUAAAUCCUUUUUUUUCCUUUUACCCGUUUGCUUCUUAAUGUAAAAGAGAGUAGAUGCAUAAUGCAUUGAACGUUUAAUCUUGCAACUGUAAUAACCCUGUUGGGUUCACUAUUGGAUCUUGGCAUUAGCUAAUUAUUUUUCCGAUUUGACAGUGUGUCCCACAACCAUGAAGCGCAUCUGCAGGCAACAUGGGAUUUCUCGUUGGCCAUCCCGAAAAAUCAACAAGGUCAACCGGUCUCUCUCGAAGUUAAAGCAAGUAAUUGAGUCUGUUCAAGGCUCAGACGCGGCAUUUAAUCUGACAUCUAUCACAGGCCCUCUCCCUACUAUUCCCGUUGGUCCUUCAUCAGAUUCUUUCAAUAAGGAGAAAGCAAGUGAAAGUAAAGCAGAACAUUCAAAUCGUGCUGUUGACGGUGACAGAGAUUCAUCUUUACAAAAGUCACAAGAAAAUGGUAGCCACUUUGGUGGACUCAUGUCCCAGCAAGGGUUUGCAGACACUGGCAACAAUGCUCAACUUGAAGCAGACAAAGCUUCUCUCUCGAGAAGCUCAUCGGGAGAAGGCAGUAUAAAUUCACGCACUUCGGAGGGCUCAUGUCAGGGAAGCCCCGCAAACCAGACAUUUGUUUGCCAGCCUAUUGCUUCAAUGUUCUUGGAACCACAAGAACCACAACCGAAUCCGGAAGGGUUCACAAAAGAACCUUUCCAAGAACCAGAGCUACCACUUUCCAGGAUGCUCAUUGAGGAUUCUGGUAGUUCCAAGGAUUUGAAGAAUCUCUUCGGUUCAGCAAUUGGCCAACCAAUGUUAGCGCCUCCCAGCAAUUUUGGGCCAAUGCGAAAUUCAGGUACUGUGACGAUAAAGGCGAGCUUUAAGGAAGACAUUGUAAGGUUCCGCUUCCCGUGUUCUAGCAGCGUUAUGGCAUUGAAAGAUGAGGUUGCCAAAAGGCUGAGGAUGGAUGCUGGCAUGUUUGAUAUCAAGUACCUUGACGAUGAUCACGAGUGGGUGAAGUUGGCUUGCAAUGCGGACUUGGAAGAAUGCAUAGAAAUCUCCCGGCAUUCUGGUACCCAUGUUAUCAGGCUAUUGGUUAGCGAUGUCGCGGCCCACAUUGGUAGUUCUUGUGGAAGCUCCGGUUGAUACCCAGAUCAACAUUUUUAACUUUUUUUUUCAAUGGGUAUGUACAAGUUGUUCCAGGAGGUCAGUUUUUACAUGUUGUUAAGCUAGUCGUGUUGCUAGAUAGCAUUAGCAGCUUUACUGUGUUCGACUGAAGCACCAAUUUUUUUUCUUGUAAGAAUAUGUGUAACGUUGCAAGAUGCGCGUGUUGUCGAUGAUGUACAUAUUUAGCACGUGGUGCAGGAAGUCCUGGGGGUACAGUUAAGAACUGAAGUUGUUGUAAUAUGACACUUUUGUUGUGCCGAAAUUGAACAGUUUUGGAAGUUAGUUCCUUUUAUUCACUUCUGUUAUUCACUUUCGGUUCCUCUUGAGUUUGAGGUUUUUUGAGUCUUUGUUUGGUUCAUUGUCCCCUGUUGUGAAAACUUAUUUUUUUCCGAGGAAAAUAAGUUUAACUUUCAUUGUAUUUUCAGAAACACAUAAACAUGAGCUAUUUUGUUCUCCCUCAGUACUAUAAUAAAAGGGAAACUCUUACCUUCCACCGGCGGAUCCAAAUAAACUGUCCACCGCUUCCUCGUCCGUCGGAUCUUACUCCAUCUAACCCCGCAUCAAUCGAUUUCUGAAACUGGAGCACAGUUUCUGAAACUGAGCAGUUGUUUCAGAGAAACUGUCCAGUCCGUGCCUCCGCCCCGACGACCUCG